UUCAAACUCUCUCACACCCAAACUGUCUCACCACCAAACCUCACACGAAAUCACUUGACCGUAGCCCACCGUACGGAGGACGUCGACAUGGCCACUCACAGCCGAAAAUCACCAUCGCCACAGCCGCAGAUCAUAGAUGGUUUGGGUACAAAAAUGAAUGAGGAAGGGAUUGCUUACUACAACAACAUCAUUAAUGCUCUUCUCGAAAGGGGCAUCCAGCCAUUUGUAACUUUAUACCACUGGGAUCUUCCAUUAAAUCUUCAUGAGUCAAUGAGAGGGUGGUUGAAUAAGCAAGUUGUGUAAGUACUGUCCUUGUUUUUCAUCAAGUAAUUGUCUUGUUUCCAAACAUCUAUAUAUUAACUAAAUAAUUUUUCCUCUAUUGAUGCCAAUUGAAUAUUUGCCCUUGGAAGAUGUGAACAUACAUUGACAGAGCCAUAUUUGGUUGCG